rnacentral:rRNA from 1 species
UACAGAGGUGGCAAGCGUUGUUCGGAAUUACUGGGCGUAAAGGGCGCGUAGGCGGUUCGAUAAGUCCCGUGUGAAAGCCCCCGGCUCAACUGGGGAACUGCACGGGAAACUGACGGACUUGAGUUCGGGAGAGGAGAGCGGAAUUCCUAGUGUAGCGGUGAAAUGCGCAGAUAUUAGGAAGAACACCGGUGGCGAAGGCGGCUCUCUGGAACGGUACUGACGCUGAGACGCGAAAGCGUGGGGAGCGAACAGG